AAUCAACGCUGGCGGCGUGCCUCAGACAUGCAAGUCGAACGAUUAAAGCUCUCUUCGGAGAGUGCAUAGAGUGGCGCACGGGUGAGUAACACGUAAGUAAUCUACCUUCGAGUGGGGAAUAACGUCCGGAACGGACGCUAAUACCGCAUAAUGCAGCGGCAUCGCAAGAUGACAGUUGUUAAAGGAGCAAUCCGCUUGAAGAGGAGCUUGCGGCAGAUUAGCUUGUUGGUAAGGUAACGGCUUACCAAGGCUACGAUCUGUAUCCGGUCUAAGAGGACGGUCGGACACACUGACACUGAAUAACGGGUCAGACUCCUACGGGAGGCAGCAGUCGGG
rnacentral:rRNA from 1 species